AGCGGAAUGGAGUAAAGGUAACUCGCAAGGCUCAUAACCUUGAAACCUAGGUUCGAAUCCUAGUUCCGCAA
rnacentral:tRNA from 1 species